CUAAUGAUGAGGCAUCAGGACCUACUUCCGGGAAUCUGCCGAGUUUCCCCUAAUCGAGGUUUCUUCGCCGGUCAAUUUCCCAGGGCCUGCUGUAUGAUGACAAGCUUACUUGGAUGGAUAGCAGAAGGAAAGAUGGCCAUCCUUUUAUACCUCCUUCUACGUGUCACUCUCCAUCUGAUGCUUUUAUGAGAGAAAAAAAAAGUGCCCUCUUUUGGAUAGAGACACUGUGGAAACUCUUGCAAGUUGCACAGAAGCCACCUCAAUCACCUCCAUCACCUGUUUGCUCCCUCUUCAACCCCAGUGAGAGCCUGGCUUGCAUCUACCUCCCUUACGGACAUGCAUGAGUAACAAGACCGGGUGUUGCCUAUUAACCUCCAGACAGAAGUGAAUGCAAAGUGGUUGGGUGGCAUGUGGAGGGUUCCUCUCAACCAACACAGAAAAAAGUGUAUGUGCACGUGAGUGCAUGUUUGUAUUUGGACUAGGUGCUCAAUGGCUG